AAAUUCCAAAUUUACAAUAUGGUAUUUUUCGCACGUGCUUGUAAACAACAUGCAUGUGUGUUAAUUUCUGCUGUCGUUUAGCUUGUCAUUCAUGGUUCUUGCCAUGGCAUGUUUACGGACAAGAGGAAGAAAUCUUGUAUUUUAAUUUGAAAUCAGUGCAAGAACGUUGGAGAAGAAAUAUUCCCCAAUCCUACCAAACCAGGAAACUGUCAAACAAUCAGACAGCAAGAGAAAAACGUGAGAAAACGUACGGAAAUGAGAAAUAUUUCACCUGAUUCCUGAACAGGAAAGGUAACAAUUUUCUCUCCCCCUUGAACAUUUAAGAUGUCGAUGCAUGUAACGUUGUGGAUGAAACAUGUGAUCAAUCAAUUUAGAAAAUGACAAAUGAUACCGUCCUGAAAUUCUAGGAAAUCUUUAAAAUGAUGAGGGAAUACCAUACCGGAAGUGAAGGGGACAUUAUAUACGGGUAAUUACAAACGAUUGCACGAAAUUCAUAAGUGAGAGGAAGAUG